rnacentral:lncRNA from 1 species
CGUUUGAGUGUGGUAACUAGAACUAAAGUUAAAAUCUGUCCCUUAAAGGCAAAAUACCUCUUGCCAAAAUAAACUGGUAAACACUGAAUCUCUAUCACAAACAAUGGAACGAAGCAUACCGUGCAACUUGAAAAUAUUUUCAAAGAAUAUUCCAGCAACUCCAACGGCUGUAUAUGGAUGAGACAGAGCAAUAAAAUGGGCAUAUUUUGAUAAUCUAUCAACUACCACAAAAUUGGUUGUUUUACCAUUGGAAGGUAGAAGUCCAUCAAUGAAAUCCAUAGAAAUGUCUUCCCAAAUUUGCUCGGGAACGGGAAGAGGUUGGAGAAGUCUUGUUGGUACCAUGUGUUUUGCUUUAUUUCUUUGGCAGAUGUCACAAUUUUUAAUAAAGUCCUUAAUUCCUUUCCUCAUUCCAACCCAGUAAAAAUUUGAACGAAGUCGUUGUAUAGUCUUGACAAAUCCUUCGUGUGUGUUGCCAUAAAAGUGCUCAAGUAAUGUAGGAAUCAAAGGUGAAUCACCAUCCAAGUAUAUCCGGUCCUUGAAGAACAAGAUGCCAUCUUGAAAUCUCCAAAGUCCUAUGUCUUCUCCGUUUUGAACCUGCUGCACCAAUUUUUGUAAAUUUGUAUUGGAACGAAUUUCGUCCUUGACAACAUCUAGCCAAUCUGGCACAACUUGCAAGAUUACAUAAGUCCUCUUCAUAUUUCUUGGAGAGAACAUCCGCAGCUAUAUUUUCCCUCCCACUUUUGUACUCCACCUUGAAAUCGAAUCCCAUCAACUUGUAUAACCACCUUUGUUGAGCUGUGGUUGUGAUCUUUUGAGUCCACAAGUGCUUCAAGCUUUGAUGAUCAAUUCUUACAAUGAAUCUCCUUCCCAGCAAGUCGGAUCUCUAUUUCUGUACUGAUAAUACCAAAGCCAAAUUUUCUUUCUCAAAAGUAGAUAACAAGAGGUGUUUACCUUGUAGGGCCUGGCUAAAGAAAGCUAUAGGUUGAUCUUGCAUAAGGACGGCUCCAACUCCAGACCCUAAAGCAUCACAUUCCACAAUGAAAGUUUUUGAAAAAUCUGGUAGAGCCAAAACUGGUGCACUGGUCAUGGCUUCCUUAAGUUUGGAGAAUGCCUCCAAAGAUACUUCAUUCCAUUUGAAAGAUCUUUCUUGAGCAUUCAUGUGAGAGGACCAGCAAUCUUCUCGUAAUUUUGUAUGAAUUUACGGUAUUACCCUGUCAACCCUAAAAAUCCUCUAAGGGCCUUAGGUGUUUGGGGUUUAGGCCAUGUGAGUAUUGUCUCAAUUUUCUCUAGGUCCACAAAAACUCCUUCAGUAGUAAUUAGAUGGCCAAGUUAUUUAACUUUCCUUUGGCCAAAUUGACACUUUUCUAAUUUUACAUGUAACUCGUUGGCUUGUAAAAUUGAAAAUACAUUAUUUAAAUGAGCAACAUGUUCAUCCCAUGAUUUACUGUAAAUCAGUAUAUCAUCAAAAAAUACUAAAACAAAUUUUCUCAAAUAAUCACGGAAGACUUCAUUCAUAAGAGCUUGAAAAAUUGAUGGUGCAUUAGUCAAACCGAAGGGCAUUACUAGGAAUUCGUAGUGUCCUUGAUGAGUUCUGAAUGCUGUUUUUUCCACAUCUUCCGGGCUUAUUCGAACUUGGUAAUACCUAGAUCGCAGGUCGAGCUUGGAAAAUACCUGUGCACCAUGUAGUUCAUCUAAGAGCUCAUCAAUUAUAGGAAUUGGAUACUUAUCCUUAAUGGUAAGCUAAUUCAAAGCCCGAUAAUCUACACACAUCCUCCAUGAGCCGUCAUGUUUCUUUACUAAUAUGACUGGGAAAGAAUAGAGGUUGUUGCUGCGUCGGAUUAUACCCAUGGAAAGCAUUUCCUUAACCAUUCUCUCAAUUUCAGCUUUUUGAAAGUAAGGAUAACGAUAUGGCUUUCCUGAAAAUGGGCCCCACCCAUGCUGUAUUGGUAUUUUGUGGUCACAUGCUCACUCGGGAGGUAACCCUGUUGGUUGUUUAGCAAGUACUUUACUAAAUUUUUGCAAAAUCGACUUCACUUGUGGAUGGAGUUCUUACUGGACUUCACCUUUCUUUUCCUUAGGUACGAGUUCAAGUAAAAUUCCUUUCAUCGGUGUUAGCUUGUAAAUUUCAUGACCAUCAACAACCAUGUCCUCAGUGCUUUUCAAUCCAUGGAGGUGAAUAAUCUUACCAUACAAUUCAAACUUCAUUACCAAUUUAGAGAAAUUCCAUUCAAUUUUCCCAAGUGUGCAGAGUCGUUGUGUUCCCAAAACAACAUCACAACCUUCCAAUGGCAGUGAAUAGAAAUCAGCUUGAAUAGGAUGGCCUUGCAAAAUCAAUUGAACAUUUUUACACUUCCCUGGGCAAGAUAAUUUUUCUCCAGAAGCCACCAUUACCUUCAAGUUGUCAUAUGAGUUCGAUUGGAAGCCUACCUUCACUGCUAGCUGUUCAUUGAUGAAGUUAUGAGUGCUUCUUGAAUCGAUCAACACAGUAGCUUCUUUGUAAGUAAGAUAACCUCUAACUCUCAUUGUUUUAGGAUUUCGAAGUCCAGCAAUCGCAUAGAGUGAAAUUUCUGGCAUAUCUGAAACUUGCUCCUCAGAUGGUUCAUCUUCUUCCAUCUCCACAUCAUCAUCAUUGUCCCCUAAUGUAGCUUGGAUAAAGAACAACUUCUUACACACAUGUCCUGGGCCAAACUUUUCAUUGUAUUUGAAACACAAGCCUUUGGGCCUCCUCUCAUUUAAUUCCUUUGUGGUCAUUCUCUUAAUAGGAGCUGGUCCUAAACUUUGGAUGCGCCGUGCUGGAGUUGUGCGAAGAGCAGGUUGCAUGUUCUUGUGUUGGCUAAAAUCUCUAGCUUCGAAUAGCCUUGCUAACCCUAUAGCUGAGGACAGAGACCUUGGCUUGUUGGCUCUAACAUCAGUUCUGACGGGUUUUCGAAGGCCUCCUACGAAACAACUGACUUGUCGAGAUUGCUCCAUUGGUCCAGCUUUAGCCAACAAUUUCUUAAAUUUAUCCUGGUAGUCUUGUACUAAACUUGUUUGUUGUAAACGAGUUAGUUCAGCAAAGAAAUCCAAAAACUGAUUUGGCCCAUACCUUGCAUUUAAUCUGUUGCUGAAUUCUUCCCAAGUGGCAGUGCCCAGCUCUUGUUUCAUCAAUUGGUACCAUAGAUGUGCAUCGCCAUCCAAAUGAAAUGAAGCUAAUGCAACUCGAUCUUGAACAGGGAUUCCAUGUAGUUGAAAGAAUUGGUCAGCUAUAUCAAGGAAAAUCAAUCUUUACCAUUUUUGGAACAUAAGAUCCUGACAUUGAACCCUCAGAAGCAUUUGCAAGAACACCUGGUGUACUAUGGGCUGCUGUUGAGUCCUCCAUCCUGCUUGGAGUCUGCAUUCUAAUAGUAGCGUUUCCAACAAGCUCACUAGUCUGAAUGGCAAUUUGUUCCACCCAAUCAGCGAGUUUACUGACUGUUUCACACAAUUUAUGCAGGACCUCCUCCUGACCUAUCAUCAUUCCUACAACCACCUCCAAUUGUUCCAACCUGUGAUCCAUUCCCAGGCUCUGAUACCACUGUGGUACAGCCUUGCUAGUAGAAGUAGUUUUUCCUCUACCUAUUUUGGGAGUAAAGAAAAAACACAGAUUUGUCUAGCUUGUUUGAGGGAGCAAGAACCUCCAAUUUUUGAUGUAAAUCAAAAGUGUAGCAGAAAAGGUGCUGUAUCUUUAUUUCAUUCCAGAAUAAAUAGCAGAGAAAUUCAACAAAUUCCCACAAAAAUAGGGAUAAAGACCAACGUUCACAGGUUGGUUUUAACUACUCAACAACUAUGCGAGACUUAUUCAAGGAACUAAACAUAAAAAUGG